rfam:Arabidopsis thaliana chromosome 4, complete sequence.
CUUUCGUAGCCAUGAAGUUAAUGGCUAGAGUGACUAGACCCGUAACAUUACCAUAUAUCAUUUGAACUGAAAUUUGUUUGUUCUGAGGAUUAUUUUUCAAGAUAUCAAAACGAAGAUAAGUGGCUGCACAAACUUUUUUUAGCGAAUAUAUCGUUAUGUUAUCGGGUCUAGCACUCUAUCCACUGAUUUCAUGACCACGAGCCUC